AGAGUUUGAUCAUGGCUCAGGAUGAACGCUGGCGGCAUGCCUAAGACAUGCAAGUCGAACGAGAUGGCCCAGUGAAAGUUGCGUGCUUGCACAAGACUGGAUCUGGAUCACCAUCUAGUGGCAGACGGGUGAGUAACACGUGGGUGACCUACCUUUUCGUUGGGGAUAACAGUUGGAAACGAUUGCUAAUACCGAAUAAAAUAUAAGAGUCGAUUUUAUAUUGAAAGGAGCCUUUAAAGCUUCGCGAUUAGAUGGGCCUGCGGCGUAUUAACUAGUUGGUGGGGUAAUGGCCUACCAAGGUAACGAUGCGUAGCCGAACUGAGAGGUUGAUCGGCCANACUGGGACUGAGACACGGCCCAGACUCCUACGGGAGCA
rnacentral:rRNA from 1 species